rnacentral:rRNA from 1 species
AAUAGAUACCCUGGUAGUCCAUGCCGUAAACGAUGAGUGCUAAGUGUUAGGGGGUUUCCGCCCCUUAGUGCUGCAGCUAACGCAUUAAGCACUCCGCCUGGGGAGUACGACCGCAAGGUUGAAACUCAAAGGAAUUGACGGGGGCCCGCACAAGCGGUGGAGCAUGUGGUUUAAUUCGAAGCAACGCGAAGAACCUUACCAGGUCUUGACAUCCCGAUGACCGCUCUAGAGAUAGAGUUUUCCCUUCGGGGACAUUGGCGACAGGUGGUGCAUGGUUGUCGUCAGCUCGUGUCGUGAGAUGUUGGGUUAAGUCCCGCAACGAGCGCAACCCUUAAUCUUAGUUGCCAUCAUUUAGUUGGGCACUCUAAGGUGACUGCCGGUGAUAAACCGGAGGAAGGUGGGGAUGACGUCAAAUCAUCAUGCCCCUUAUGACCUGGGCUACACACGUGCUACAAUGGACGGUACAAAGAGUCGCUCACUCGCGAGAGUAUGCUAAUCUCAUAAAACCGUUCUCAGUUCGGA